rnacentral:rRNA from 1 species
UGGGGAAUAUUGCACAAUGGGCGCAAGCCUGAUGCAGCCAUGCCGCGUGUAUGAAGAAGGCCUUCGGGUUGUAAAGUACUUUCAGCGAGGAGGAAGGCGUUGUGGUUAAUAACCGCAACGAUUGACGUUACUCGCAGAAGAAGCACCGGCUAACUCCGUGCCAGCAGCCGCGGUAAUACGGAGGGUGCAAGCGUUAAUCGGAAUUACUGGGCGUAAAGCGCACGCAGGCGGUCUGUCAAGUCGGAUGUGAAAUCCCCGGGCUCAACCUGGGAACUGCAUCCGAAACUGGCAGGCUAGAGUCUUGUAGAGGGGGGUAGAAUUCCAGGUGUAGCGGUGAAAUGCGUAGAGAUCUGGAGGAAUACCGGUGGCGAAGGCGG